CCUACGGGCGGCUGCAGUGGGGAAUAUUGCACAAUGGGGGAAACCCUGAUGCAGCGACGCCGCGUGAGUGAAGAAGUAUUUCGGUACGUAAAGCUCUAUCAGCAGGGAAGAAAAUGACGGUACCUGACUAAGAAGCCCCGGCUAACUACGUGCCAGUAGCCGCGGUAAUACGUAGGGGGCAAGCGUUAUCCGGAUUUACUGGGUGUAAAGGGAGCGUAGGCGGCAGGGCAAGUCGGGAGUGAAAUCCCACGGCUCAACCGCGGAACUGCUUUUGAAACUGUCCAGCUGGAGUGCAGGAGAGGUAAGCGGAAUUCCUAGUGUAGCGGUGAAAUGCGUAGAUAUUAGGAGGAACACCAGUGGCGAAGGCGGCUUACUGGACUGUAACUGACGUUGAGGCUCGAAAGCGUGGGGAGCAAACAGGAUUAGAUACCCGAGUAGUC
rnacentral:rRNA from 1 species